GCACGUGAUGAAUACUAUUCACAUAGUUUCCUGUCAGUCCGAGCACUGCAUGAGGUCAUAGCAUUUUCUCAACUCAGCUCACACUGACGC
rnacentral:sRNA from 2 species